rnacentral:lncRNA from 1 species
AAGAGUAUGUUACUAAUUAAUUUAUAACCGAGUGAAAAGAGUAAGAAAUAUAUAUAUAUAUAUAUAUAUAUAUAUAUAUAUAUAUAGAGAGAGAGAGAGAGAGAGAGAGAGAGAGAGAGAGAGAGUUGUGCUGGUAUGCUUAUGGAAGCACGGAGGCCUCCAUGCUUCCAAGUCGUUUUUGAUGUUGGGACUUUCGAAUCGACGAUCGGCUCCGUUAGAUUUGAUCUAGAGUAUUUGAAGUACCUAGAAAAUAAAUUUUGCGAUUUUUCGAUAUCAUUUGCCUAGUGAUCGAAGGGGCUCAAAACCAAUAAUUUUAACAGUCGUGGUGAGCCGGUUGUAAGUUUAAUAGUGUAGAAAUAUCCAAAUCACGUGAAAUUUUAAUAGAAAUUUCUUUGUACUAUAUAAAAUAAGAUCAAUAUCUUCGAUCUAAAUUUUUAAUGUCAUAUCAUCACAUUUUGUGAAAUUUUUAUUUUCAGCCGUUGAUUUUGAACCCCUUCGAUCACUAGGCAAAUGAUAUCGAAAAAUCGCAAAAUUUAUUUUCUAGGUACUUCAAAUACUCUAGAUCAAGUCUAACGGAGCCGAUCGUUGAUUCGAAAAUCUCAACAUCGAAAACAAAUUGGAAGCACAGAGACCUCCGUGUUUCCAUAAGCAUACUAGCCGCACUCUCUAUAUAUAUAUAUAUAUAUAUAUAUAUAUAUAUAUAUAUAUAUAGUUGAGCUCGAAUGCUCUCAAAAGCACCAACCUUUGGUCUUUUGAGUUUCUAGUCCUUGGAUCUACUCCUUGAAUAUUAAUAAUUUUUUGAUCAAAUACUAUUUCACCUACCACCACUUACCACCAUUAUCUUAACCCUACAUCUUUCCAUCCAAUAGCUAAAAACUCAAAAGCAUAAACCUCUUGGUACUUUUAAGAAUAUUCUAGCUCAUCUCUCUCUCUCUAUAUAUAUAUAUAUGUAUAUAUAUAUAUAUGUAUGUAUACCUUUUUAUCAUUUUCUCUUGUUGUUUGUCCUUGGACUGCAUGUCCCUCCAGAAAUGUCGAAGACCUAUAAAUAACUUGGAUAAAAGUUCAGUGGGAACUCUCUAAUGAAUUUGUAAUCAGAGAUUACUUGAGGAGGCUUCCUUGGGAAGCUCACUAUAAAGUUUUUUGGGUAAACUUCAAAUGCCAACCCCGUGGUUGGUUUUGCACUUUUUCACUUAAAUACUCUCUGGUUUAAAGUGUAUCAAGUUAGCGUCAUGUGAUUUCAUGUUUAUCUUUCGUUAGAUUCUUCGUUAAUAUUUCGUUAAAUUAUAUACAAAAAACUUCAGAUACUCCACCUAACUUUAUCAAAUAUUCACUUUAGUAUCAUUUAGUUUUAACUUUGUCACUGAUUUAACGAAAAAAAUUAACGAAAUCGAUAAUUAAAAGAUAAAAAUGAAACCACAGAACACAAAAUUGAUACACUUUAACCACAAGGCACUAAAGUGAGAAAAUGUGAAACCACAAGGAUGAUUUUUGAAGUUUUUUCUUUUUUUUUUUUUUUUAA